rnacentral:rRNA from 1 species
CCUACGGGAGGCAGCAGUGAGGAAUAUUGGUCAAUGGACGAGAGUCUGAACCAGCCAAGUAGCGUGAAGGAUGACUGCCCUAUGGGUUGUAAACUUCUUUUAUAUGGGAAUAAAAUGUUCCACGUGUGGGAUUUUGUAUGUACCAUAUGAAAAAGGAUCGGCUAACUCCGUGCCAGCAGCCGCGGUAAUACGGAGGAUCCGAGCGUUAUCCGGAUUUAUUGGGUUUAAAGGGAGCGUAGGUGGAUUGUUAAGUCAGUUGUGAAAGUUUGGGGCUCAACCGUAAAAUUGCAGUUGAAACUGGCAGUCUUGAGUACAGUAGAGGUGGGCGGAAUGCGUGGUGUAGCGGUGAAAUGCUUAGAUAUCACGAAGAACUCCGAUUGCGAAGGCAGUUCACUGGACUGCAACUGACACUGAGGCUCGAAAGUGUGGGUAUCAAACAGGAUUAGAUACCCGAGUAGUC